AUGGUUGGAGGAAAUAAGCCUUUUAAAUACUUUAGGAUGUCCCAAAUAUCUAAGAUGGACUGGAUUAGAGAUGGUGACCAUAAAACAAUUAUCUUUCAUUAUAGCAUCAGGUAUAGGAAUAACAUCAGUAGAAUUAGCGCCAUUAACAAUAGUGGAGGAGAUUGGUUAACUGAUCCUGGAGAAGUCAUUAAGGAGUUCACCAUGUACUAUGAAGAUCUACUUGGUACCCCUAUAGAAAACAAAUUGAAAGCCUGUAAGUCCAUUAUUAAUCAGGGGGAAUUUUUUCCAGAGAGCAGCAGGAUUGGUUGA